rnacentral:rRNA from 1 species
CCUUUCGGGGAUAGUGGCGGACGGGUGAGUAACGCGUGAGAAUCUGCCUUUAGGACGGGGACAACAGUUGGAAACGGCUGCUAAAACCCGAUGUGCCCUUCGGGGUGAAAUAUUUAUAGCCUGAAGAUGAGCUCGCGUCUGAUUAGCUAGUAGGUGAGGUAAAGGCUCACCUAGGCGACGAUCAGUAACUGGUCUGAGAGGAUGACCAGUCACACUGGGACUGAGACACGGCCCAGACUCCUACGGGAGGCAGCA